rnacentral:lncRNA from 1 species
UUCAAAACCGCCAGCUUGUGGUCUGUCAAACUCACAAGUUCCUUCAUGCGGAUAACCUCCUUCAUUUCAGAUUUAAGACCGUUGAAGAACACCUUGAUCAGAUUAUUCUCAUCAAUCCCUGUAACUUGGUUUCUCAAAGCCUCAAAUUCGUUCACAUAGUCGACAAUAUCACCCUCUUGCGUCAAACAGAAUAGCCUCGCUGCUGGAUCAUUGUCAAUGGGACCGCCAAACCUGUCUAACAUCUGCUUGGUGAACUGCUCCCAACUCACAAAAGGAUCACUGAUAACUUCGCCGUUGAACCACUGUAGAACUGGUCCUUCUAGACUCAGAGAGACUAGAUUCAGCUUCUCAUCCUCGUUGUAGUUCCCAAAUCUAAAAAAAUCUUUCAACACGCGAGAUCCAAUCGAAAGGCAAAGGAGCAGAGAACUCAAGCAUUUCAAUCCUUCUCAACAUCUUAUCGCGAUUUGCAAGAGUACCAUGGAUUCCCCGAUAACCUAACUGUGUUGGAGAUCUUUCCAUUUCAGAGAUAGGAAUCGGUACCUGAUCGAUUUGAGGUUCCGACGUUGAAGCAAUCUCCUUCCCCGGUCACUGAUUGAAUAUCGCUGAAUCCUCCAAUCGAGUCAAGACGUCGGUGAUAUGGUUCAUCUGCUUCUCGAUUGCCUCGAAUCUUGAAGUAGAUUCGAUCGCCAUCGUUUCAAUCUUCUUCUCCACCGAAUCGAGCUUCUUCGUCGUCACUUGAUCACUCUGAGCUAACUUCUCAUAGUUGUGCUUGGCCAGCUCCAACUCAUCUUGAAUCUGAUGGAUAUCCAUCGAUUUCGAUGCAUCU